CGAAUGCUGACAUAAGUAACGAUAAAGCGGGUGAAAAGCCCGCUCGCCGGAAGACCAAGGGUUCCUGUCCAACGUUAAUCGGGGCAGGGUGAGUCGACCCCUAAGGCGAGGCCGAAAGGCGUAGUCGAUGGGAAACAGGUUAAUAUUCCUGUACUUGGUGUUACUGCGAAGGGGGGACGGAGAAGGCUAUGUUGGCCGGGCGACGGUUGUCCCGGUUUAAGCGUGUAGGCUGGUUUUCCAGGCAAAUCCGGAAAAUCAAGGCUGAGGCGUGAUGACGAGGCACUACGGUGCUGAAGCAACAAAUGCCCUGCUUCCAGGAAAAGCCUCUAAGCAUCAGGUAACAUCAAAUCGUACCCCAAACCGACACAGGUGGUCAGGUAGAGAAUACCAAGGCGCUUGAGAGAACUCGGGUGAAGGAACUAGGCAAAAUGGUGCCGUAACUUCGGGAGAAGGCACGCUGAUAUGUAGGUGAAGCGACUUGCUCGUGGAGCUGAAAUCAGUCGAAGAUACCAGCUGGCUGCAACUGUUUAUUAAAAACACAGCACUGUGCAAACAC
rnacentral:rRNA from 1 species